UACGUAGGGGGCUAGCGUUGUCCGGAAUUAUUGGGCGUAAAGAGCUCGUAGGCGGUUUGUCGCGUCUGCUGUGAAAACUCGGGGCUUAACUCCGGGCCUGCAGUGGGUACGGGCAGACUAGAGUGCGGUAGGGGAGACUGGAAUUCCUGGUGUAGCGGUGAAAUGCGCAGAUAUCAGGAGGAACACCGGUGGCGAAGGCGGGUCUCUGGGCCGUAACUGACGCUGAGGAGCGAAAGCGUGGGGAGCGAACAGG
rnacentral:rRNA from 1 species